rnacentral:misc_RNA from 1 species
GAAAUGCGAUAAGUAGUGUGAAUUGCAGAAUUCAGUGAAUCAUCGAAUCUUUGAACGCACAUUGCGCCCUUUGGUAUUCCAAAGGGCAUGUCUGUUCGAGCGUCAUUUGUACCCUCAAGCUUUGCUUGGUGUUGGGCGUCUUGUCUCCAGUUCGCUGGAGACUCGCCUUAAAGUAAUUGGCAGCCGGCCUACUGGUUUCGGAGCGCAGCACAAGUCGCGCUCUCUUCCAGCCAAGGUCAGCAUCCACAAAGCCUUUUUUCAACUUUUGACCUCGGAUCAGGUAGGGAUACCCGCUGAACUUAAGC